GGCUCAGUGGUUAAGAGCACUGACUGCUCUCUCAGAGGACCUGGGUUCAAUUCCCAG
rnacentral:tRNA from 1 species